UACGGAGGGUCCAAGCGUUAUCCGGAUUCAUUGGGCGUAAAGGGUGCGUAGGCGGCGCGGUGAGUCGGGUGUGAAAUCUCGGGGCUUAACUCCGAAACUGCAUUCGAUACUGCCGUGCUUGAGGACUGGAGAGGAGACUGGAAUUUACGGUGUAGCGGUGAAAUGCGUAGAUAUCGUAAGGAAGACCAGUGGCGAAGGCGGGUCUCUGGACAGUUCCUGACGCUGAGGCACGAAGGUCAGGGGAGCAAACGGG
rnacentral:rRNA from 1 species